AUACGGAAGGUGCGAGCGUUAUCCGGAAUCACUGGGUUUAAAGGGUGCGUAGGCGGCAUGAUAAGUCAGAGGUGAAAGCCCUCAGCUUAACUGAGGAAUUGCCUUUGAUACUGUUGUGCUUGAAAGGGGAUGAGGUGAGCGGAAUGUGGCAUGUAACGGUGAAAUGUGUAGAUAUGCCAUAGAACACCGAUUGCGAAGGCAGCUCACUGGGCCUACUUUGACGCUGAGGCACGAAAGCGUGGGGAGCGAACAGGAUUAGAAACCCUAGUAGUCCC
rnacentral:rRNA from 1 species